rnacentral:rRNA from 1 species
GACGUAGGGCGCGAGCGUUGUCCGGAUUUAUUGGGCGUAAAGAGCUCGUAGGCGGCUUGUCGCGUCGGAUGUGAAAGCCCGGGGCUUAACUCCGGGUCUGCAUUCGAUACGGGCAGGCUAGAGUUCGGUAGGGGAGAUCGGAAUUCCUGGUGUAGCGGCGAAAUGCGCAGAUAUCAGGAGGAACACCGGUGGCGAAGGCGGAUCUCUGGGCCGAUACUGACGCUGAGGAGCGAAAGCGUGGGGAGCGAACAGG